GAUUUAUUAAUUAUUAUAUUGAUAAAUCUAAUUACAGUUUUGAUAUUAAUUAGUUAAGAUAUAAUAUAUUUUAGCAAUACAUGUAGUUCUAUAUUAAAUCACCCAGGUAGAACACCUAGGUUUACUUGCUAAAGUUAAUUAAGGCCCUUAGGAUAUAUGGUCCUUAUAUGGUCAAUCUAAAGGUGUGUUUUUACAGAGAGAAUCUAUUGGUUUUUAAGUUUGUAUAGUUGGGUUUCAUUGGUCUGUGGAUUUCCCUCCAGAAGUUCUUUGUGUUUUAAGACAUUCUUCAUAUUAAAGCUAAGGAGACAAGACUUAAUAUUUACGACAUAGAAAGACCUUAUAACGUAUAGACUUUACUUCAUCUCAUAUAGUGUCUGUCUAUGCUGUGUAAGCUAUAAUAGCAAAGUGCACACUCAUAGGGCGUGGGACUGCCCAUUCCCAUAUGAAUGGGCAUUCAUUUAUUUAUUUAUCUGUUAUCUAUUAUAUCUGUAAUCGCAAUAAUAAAGGGAUGUCCAGAACCUUAUACAG